rnacentral:rRNA from 1 species
GGUGAACGCUGGCGGCGUGCUUAAGACAUGCAAGUCGAACGGGCUCUUCGGAGCCAGUGGCGCACGGGUGAGUAACGCGUAACUGACCUACCCCAAAGUCGCGGAUAACGAUUCGAAAGAAUCGCUAAUACGUGAUGUGCUGCUCCCUCGUGUGGGAUCAGUAAAGAUUUAUUGCUUUGGGAUGGGGUUGCGUUCCAUCAGCUAGUUGGUGGGGUAAAGGCUCACCACGGCGACGACGGAUGGCCGGCCGGAGAGGGGGGCCGGCCACAGGGGCACCGAGACACGGGUCCCACUCCUACGGGAGGCAACAGUUAGGAAUCUUCCACAAUGGGCGAAAGCCUGAUGGAGCGACGCCGCGUGAGGGAUGAAGGUCUUCGGAUCGUAAACCUCUGAAUCAGGGACGAAAGACACUUUAUGUGGGAUGACGGUACCUGAGUAAUAGCACCGGCUAACUCCGUGCCAGCAGCCGCGGUAACAC